rnacentral:rRNA from 1 species
AUACGGAGGGAGCAAGCGUUAUUCGGAAUCACUGGGCGUAAAGGACGCGUAGGCGGGUUUGUAAGUCAGGUGUGAAAUCCUACAGCUCAACUGUAGAACUGUACUUGAAACUACAGACCUAGAGUAUGGAAGGGGCAGAUGGAAUUAGUGGUGUAGGGGUAAAAUCCGUAGAUAUCACUAGGAAUGCCGAAAGCGAAGGCGAUCUGCUGGGACAUUACUGACGCUGAGGCGUGAAAGCGUGGGGGGCAAACAGGAUUAGAAACCCUAGUAGUCC